GACGAACGCUGGCGGCGUGCUUAACACAUGCAAGUCGAGCGGUAAGGCCCUUUCGGGGGUACACGAGCGGCGAACGGGUGAGUAACACGUGGGUGACCUGCCCUCAGCUCUGGGAUAAGCCCGGGAAACUGGGUCUAAUACCGGAUAUGACUUCAUGACGCAUGUUGUGGAGUGGAAAGCCUUGUGCGGCUGAGGAUGGGCCCGCGGCCUAUCAGCUU
rnacentral:rRNA from 1 species